AGUUUGAUCCUGGCUCAGGAUGAACGCUAGCUACAGGCUUAACACAUGCAAGUCGAGGGGAAACGACAUCGAAAGCUUGCUUUUGAUGGGCGUCGACCGGCGCACGGGUGAGUAACGCGUAUCCAACCUGCCCACCACUUGGGGAUAACCUUGCGAAAGUAAGACUAAUACCCAAUGACGUCUCUAGAAGACAUCUGAAAGAGAUUAAAGAUUUAUCGGUGAUGGAUGGGGAUGCGUCUGAUUAGCUUGUUGGCGGGGUAACGGCCCACCAAGGCGACGAUCAGUAGGGGUUCUGAGAGGAAGGUCCCCCACAUUGGAACUGAGACACGGUCCAAACUCCUACGGGAGGCAGCAGUGAGGAAUAUUGGUCAAUGGACGAGAGUCUGAACCAGCCAAGUAGCGUGCAGGAUGACGGCCCUAUGGGUUGUAAACUGCUUUUAUAAGGGAAUAAAGUGAGUCUCGUGAGACUUUUUGCAUGUACCUUAUGAAUAAGGACCGGCUAAUUCCGUGCCAGCAGCCGCGGUAAUACGGAAGGUCCGGGCGUUAUCCGGAUUUAUUGGGUUUAAAGGGAGCGUAGGCCGGAGAUUAAGCGUGUUGUGAAAUGUAGACGCUCAACGUCUGCACUGCAGCGCGAACUGGUUUCCUUGAGUACGCACAAAGUGGGCGGAAUUCGUGGUGUAGCGGUGAAAUGCUUAGAUAUCACGAAGAACUCCGAUUGCGAAGGCAGCUCACUGGAGCGCAACUGACGCUGAAGCUCGAAAGUGCGGGUAUCGAACAGGAUUAGAUACCCUGGUAGUCCGCACGGUAAACGAUGGAUGCCCGCUGUUGGUCUGAAUAGGUCAGCGGCC
rnacentral:rRNA from 1 species